UUCGCAAUGCCCGAAAGGGUGACGAAGCGACGCCGCGUGGGUGAGGAAGGCCUUCGGGUUGUAAAGCCCUGUCAGGAGUUAAGAAAUAUAAGUGCGCUAAUAUCGCAUUUAUUUGACGAAGGCUCCAAAGGAAGCCACGGCUAACUCUGUGCCAGCAGCCGCGGUAAUACAGAGGUGGCAAGCGUUGUUCGGAAUUAUUGGGCGUAAAGAGCACGUAGGUGGGUUUGUAAGUCAGAUGUGAAAGCCUUCUGCUCAACGGAAGAAUUGCAUCUGAAACUACAAGUCUUGAGUGUAGGAGGGGAGAAUGGAACUUCUGGUGGAGCGGUGAAAUGCGUAGAUAUCAGAAGGAACGCCGGCGGCGAAAGCGAUUCUCUGGCCUAUUACUGACACUCAGUGUGCGAAAGCUAGGGGAGCAAACGGGAUUAGAUACCCCGGUAGUCCUAGCUGUAAACGAUGGGCACUAAGUAGAGGGGUUUU
rnacentral:rRNA from 1 species